ensembl:snRNA U6 U6 spliceosomal RNA
GUGCUUGCUACGGCUGCACAUAUACUAAAAUUGGAUCGCUACAGAGAACAUUAGCAUGGCCCCUGCGAAAGGAUGACAUGCAAAGCACCGUCCCCACACACUGCU